UUUGGGCGUGUCUCCCUUCUCGGGAGACUCUCUCAACCCCCACGAACCCUUGACCUCA
rnacentral:rRNA from 1 species